rnacentral:rRNA from 1 species
AUUGAACGCUGGCGGCAUGCUUUACACAUGCAAGUCGAACGGUAACAGGCCGCAAGGUGCUGACGAGUGGCGAAUGGGUGAGUAAUGCAUCGGAACGUGCCCAGUUGUGGGGGAUAACGCAGCGAAGGCUGCGCUAAUACCGCAUACGAUCUAUGGAUGAAAGCGGGGGACCGUAGGCCUCGCGCGAUUGGAGCGGCCGAUGUCAGAUUAGGUAGUUGGUGGGGUAAAGGCUCACCAAGCCGACGAUCGGUAGCUGGUCUGAGAGGACGACCAGCCACACUGGGAUUGGAACACGGCCCAGACGCCUGCGGGAGGCAGGAGUGGGGAAUUUUGGACAAUGGGCGAAAGCCUGCUCCAGCCAUGCCGCGUGCAGGAUGAAGGCCUUCGGGUUGUAAACUGCUUUUGUACGGAACGAAACGGUGAGCUCUAAUACAGUUUGCUAAUGACGGUACCGUAAGAAUAAGCACCGGCUAACUACGUGCCAGCCGCCGCCGUAA